rnacentral:rRNA from 1 species
ACAUGCAGUCGAGCGGACAGAUGGGAGCUUGCUCCCUGAUGUUAGCGGCGGACGGGUGAGUAACACGUGGGUAACCUGCCUGUAAGACUGGGAUAACUCCGGGAAACCGGGGCUAAUACCGGAUGGUUGUUUGAACCGCAUGGUUCAAACAUAAAAGGUGGCUUCGGCUACCACUUACAGAUGGACCCGCGGCGCAUUAGCUAGUUGGUGAGGUAACGGCUCACCAAGGCAACGAUGCGUAGCCGACCUGAGAGGGUGAUCGGCCACACUGGGACUGAGACACGGCCCAGACUCCUACGGGAGGCAGCAGUAGGGAAUCUUCCGCAAUGGACGAAAGUCUGACGGAGCAACGCCGCGUGAGUGAUGAAGGUUUUCGGAUCGUAAAGCUCUGUUGUUAGGGAAGAACAAGUACCGUUCGAAUAGGGCGGUACCUUGACGGUACCUAACCAGAAAGCCACGGCUAACUACGUGCCAGCAGCCGCGGUAAUACGUAGGUGGCAAGCGUUGUCCGGAAUUAUUGGGCGUAAAGGGCUCGCAGGCGGUUUCUUAAGUCUGAUGUGAAAGCCCCCGGCUCAACCGGGGAGGGUCAUUGGAAACUGGGGAACUUGAGUGCAGAAGAGGAGAGUGGAAUUCCACGUGUAGCGGUGAAAUGCGUAGAGAUGUGGAGGAACACCAGUGGCGAAGGCGACUCUCUGGUCUGUAACUGACGCUGAGGAGCGAAAGCGUGGGGAGCGAACAGGAUUAGAUACCCUGGUAGUCCACGCCGUAAACGAUGAGUGCUAA